AUGUUUUCCCCUCUUAUCUGUUAUCCCUGGUCAGAAAUAAUUCAAAUGGAAACCAACGGGUUAUCACUCAAGACUCAGGAAAUCAGGUCAAAAAGGAAGUGGGAAACAACUGCAGAUCUCAGCCGCCGCUGCGGCAGUAACCAACAUGAAAGUCCAUGGGAAGGCGGACAGGACAAAAUGAAUGGGAUAAUCACUUGUUUGGUUUGUGGCGAGGAAGGACAUUACAGUUGUGACCGGCCUUUCAAGGAUCAGGAACACAAAGUCAUUUGCACAGUUUGUCGGAGAAUCGCGCUUGCACCCGCUGUGGAGAGAUAG
rnacentral:rRNA from 1 species